GUGGCAACAAUAAAUAAGGCAGGUAGGUUAGUUGAAACCAUACAAACCACAGUACUUUAGAUCUCUUCCUAGACCACGUUUACUGUGCAAAAUACGAGAGCGACUCCACCACCAAAAAGCUACAAGUCGUGGCUCGAGCGUUCUCCGCUUUCUCCAAAGUCCACACCUUUCCCGCUCGGCCAUUGACAUAAACAAUACAACUUCAGUUACAAACCCGCACACCCGUAGAAAGAGAGAGAAAAUGAAGUACGUAUUGGUGACGGGAGGAGUGGUGAGUGGGCUGGGCAAAGGCGUCACUGCCAGCAGCAUAGGCGUCGUCCUCAAAGCCUGCGGACUUCGCGUUACCUCCAUCAAAAUUGAUCCUUACUUGAACACUGAUGCUGGUACAAUGUCUCCCUUUGAACAUGGGGAGGUUUUUGUUCUUGACGAUGGUGGAGAGGUUGAUUUGGACCUGGGAAAUUAUGAGCGAUUCCUAGAUGUAACGCUUACAAGAGAUAACAACAUUACUACGGGAAAGAUAUAUCAGUCUGUCCUUGAGAAGGAACGGCGAGGUGAUUACCUUGGGAAGACUGUUCAGGUGGUACCACACAUCACAGAUGCCAUUAAGAAUUGGAUUGAAGCGGUUGCUGUCAUUCCUGUUGAUGGACAAGAAGGUCCAGCAGAUGUUUGUGUGAUAGAGUUGGGAGGGACUGUAGGUGACAUCGAAUCAAUGCCAUUCAUCGAGGCUCUUCGACAAUUGUCCUUUUCAGUUGGUCACAAUAACUUCUGUCUUGUUCAUGUGAGCUUGAUACCAGUACUGGGUGUUGUUGGAGAACAAAAAACGAAACCGACGCAACAUAGUGUCCGGGAACUUAGAGCACUAGGUUUGACUCCUCACCUUUUAGCAUGUCGCUCUGCUCAGCCUUUGUUGGAGAGUACGAAGGAGAAACUUUCACAGUUUUGCCAUGUUCCUGCUGGUAAUAUUCUCAAUAUCCAUGAUGUUCCAAACAUUUGGCAUGUCCCUCUCUUACUUAAGAACCAAAAUGCUCAUCACUCAAUUCUAAAGCAGUUAAACUUACUCGACCUGGCUGCACCUCCUGCUUUACAAGACUGGACCAGGAUGGCUGAGACAUUUGACAAUCUCACUGAAUCUGUGAGGAUUGCAUUGGUUGGGAAAUAUGUUGACCUAGCAGAUUCAUAUCUUUCUGUUGUGAAGGCCCUUUUGCAUGCUUGCAUCGCGUGUUCUUUGAAGCCGUCAAUUGAUUGGAUUGCGGCUUCUGACCUUGAAGAGGAUAGUGCUAAAUUGACACCAGGAGCACAUGCUACUGCAUGGGAGACUUUGAGGAAUGCUGCAUGUGUCUUGGUUCCUGGUGGAUUUGGAGAUCGUGGUGUUAGAGGUAUGAUAUUGGCUGCAAAGUAUGCUAGAGAGAAUAGUGUUCCCUUUCUUGGGAUUUGCUUGGGCAUGCAGAUUUCUGUCAUUGAGUUUGCUAGAUCUGUUUUGGGUUUGGAAAGUGCAAACAGCACAGAGUUCGAUGAUCAGACACCAAAUCCAGUUGUAAUUUUCAUGCCUGAGGGUUCAAGAACUCAUAUGGGAAGCACAAUGAGACUUGGAUCUCGAAGAACACUAUUCCAGACCCCUGAUUGUAUUACUUCAAAACUGUACCACAAUUCAGAGUCUGUGGAGGAACGGCAUAGGCACAGAUAUGAGGUGAAUCCUGAAGUUAUUGGAACUCUAGAAGAAGCUGGCCUCAAAUUUGUUGGGAAAGAUUAUAGUGGAAGACGGAUGGAGAUUUUAGAGCUUCCAAAUCAUCCCUUCUAUGUAGGAGUACAAUUUCAUCCAGAAUUCAAAUCACGGCCUGGGAGGCCCUCGCCUCUAUUUUUAGGUCUCGUAUUGGCCGCAAGAGGACAGUUAGAAGCAUAUCUUGACAGGCAUCAAAAUGGAACUUGAUUAGCAGCUUGUCUCACUCUUCUUAUCUUCCAGAUCAUUCUUUCAAGGUGGUCUAGUUUUCAAGAUGCAGAAAUUUUAGGAAAAGAAUUGAUACUUUCUGGCGGAUUAUCAUGAAGUUUCCCAAACUGGACGCCCGAUAUGAUUUCCUGCUGCAUUUUGAAGUUUUGUUUCCUUCAGUUCAAGGCAUUACGUAUCAACAAAUAUGCAAAGCCAUUUGCUGUACCAUGGCAAUGAUAAUUGAUUGUCAACAUUGAGUUUUUAGGAAAGCCAAACAUAGUUAUCGUGUUACUUUUCGGUUUUAGACUACUCUCACUGUUUAAUGGCCAGUAACAGGCCCUUUUGAUUGGAAAGACCAAGUAGGACUCAGAUGUUUAAUUCAAAACUUUUUCCGUAGGAGCUCUUAUAUCUCAUUGUGCAAUGUAUGAUCUUCCAGGAUUUGGAAACUGUUGCCAAUAGAGAUAUCUGGAUGUAUGAAAUUAUAUCUAUAAUGUGACUUUGUAGCAUAUUAUGAGGAACAUGAGUUUAUGCAAUUGUAUUUCAGAGCCAAA